rnacentral:rRNA from 1 species
UUAAGCGACUAAGCGUACACGGUGGAUGCCCUGGCAGUCAGAGGCGAUGAAGGACGUGCUAAUCUGCGAUAAGCGUCGGUAAGGUGAUAUGAACCGUUAUAACCGGCGAUUUCCGAAUGGGGAAACCCAGUGUGAUUCGUCACACUAUCAUUAACUGAAUCCAUAGGUUAAUGAGGCGAACCGGGGGAACUGAAACAUCUAAGUACCCCGAGGAAAAGAAAUCAACCGAGAUUCCCCCAGUAGCGGCGAGCGAACGGGGAGCAGCCCAGAGCCUGAAUCAGUGUGUGUGUUAGUGGAAGCGUCUGGAAAGGCACGCGAUACAGGGUGACAGCCCCGUACACAAAAAUGCACAUGCUGUGAGCUCGAUGAGUAGGGCGGGACACGUGGUAUCCUGUCUGAAUAUGGGGGGGACCAUCCUCCAAGGCUAAAUACUCCUGACUGACCGAUAGUGAACCAGUACCGUGAGGGAAAGGCGAAAAGAACCCCGGCGAGGGGAGUGAAAAAGAACCUGAAACCGUGUACGUACAAGCAGUGGGAGCACGCUUAGGCGUGUGACUGCGUACCUUUUGUAUAAUGGGUCAGCGACUUAUAUUCUGUAGCAAGGUUAACCGAAUAGGGGAGCCGAAGGGAAACCGAGUCUUAACUGGGCGUUAAGUUGCAGGGUAUAGACCCGAAACCCGGUGAUCUAGCCAUGGGCAGGUUGAAGGUUGGGUAACACUAACUGGAGGACCGAACCGACUAAUGUUGAAAAAUUAGCGGAUGACUUGUGGCUGGGGGGUGAAAGGCCAAUCAAACCGGGAGAUAGCUGGUUCUCCCCGAAAGCUAUUUAGGUAGCGCCUCGUGAAUUCAUCUCCGGGGGUAGAGCACUGUUUCGGCAAGGGGGUCAUCCCGACUUACCAACCCGAUGCAAACUGCGAAUACCGGAGAAUGUUAUCACGGGAGACACACGGCGGGUGCUAACGUCCGUCGUGAAGAGGGAAACAACCCAGACCGCCAGCUAAGGUCCCAAAGUCAUGGUUAAGUGGGAAACGAUGUGGGAAGGCCCAGACAGCCAGGAUGUUGGCUUAGAAGCAGCCAUCAUUUAAAGAAAGCGUAAUAGCUCACUGGUCGAGUCGGCCUGCGCGGAAGAUGUAACGGGGCUAAACCAUGCACCGAAGCUGCGGCAGCGACGCUUAUGCGUUGUUGGGUAGGGGAGCGUUCUGUAAGCCUGUGAAGGUGUACUGUGAGGUAUGCUGGAGGUAUCAGAAGUGCGAAUGCUGACAUAAGUAACGAUAAAGCGGGUGAAAAGCCCGCUCGCCGGAAGACCAAGGGUUCCUGUCCAACGUUAAUCGGGGCAGGGUGAGUCGACCCCUAAGGCGAGGCCGAAAGGCGUAGUCGAUGGGAAACAGGUUAAUAUUCCUGUACUUGGUGUUACUGCGAAGGGGGGACGGAGAAGGCUAUGUUGGCCGGGCGACGGUUGUCCCGGUUUAAGCGUGUAGGCUGGUUUUCCAGGCAAAUCCGGAAAAUCAAGGCUGAGGCGUGAUGACGAGGCACUACGGUGCUGAAGCAACAAAUGCCCUGCUUCCAGGAAAAGCCUCUAAGCAUCAGGUAACAUCAAAUCGUACCCCAAACCGACACAGGUGGUCAGGUAGAGAAUACCAAGGCGCUUGAGAGAACUCGGGUGAAGGAACUAGGCAAAAUGGUGCCGUAACUUCGGGAGAAGGCACGCUGAUAUGUAGGUGAAGUCCCUCGCGGAUGGAGCUGAAAUCAGUCGAAGAUACCAGCUGGCUGCAACUGUUUAUUAAAAACACAGCACUGUGCAAACACGAAAGUGGACGUAUACGGUGUGACGCCUGCCCGGUGCCGGAAGGUUAAUUGAUGGGGUUAGCGCAAGCGAAGCUCUUGAUCGAAGCCCCGGUAAACGGCGGCCGUAACUAUAACGGUCCUAAGGUAGCGAAAUUCCUUGUCGGGUAAGUUCCGACCUGCACGAAUGGCGUAAUGAUGGCCAGGCUGUCUCCACCCGAGACUCAGUGAAAUUGAACUCGCUGUGAAGAUGCAGUGUACCCGCGGCAAGACGGAAAGACCCCGUGAACCUUUACUAUAGCUUGACACUGAACAUUGAGCCUUGAUGUGUAGGAUAGGUGGGAGGCUUUGAAGUGUGGACGCCAGUCUGCAUGGAGCCGACCUUGAAAUACCACCCUUUAAUGUUUGAUGUUCUAACGUGGACCCGUGAUCCGGGUUGCGGACAGUGUCUGGUGGGUAGUUUGACUGGGGCGGUCUCCUCCUAAAGAGUAACGGAGGAGCACGAAGGUUGGCUAAUCCUGGUCGGACAUCAGGAGGUUAGUGCAAUGGCAUAAGCCAGCUUGACUGCGAGCGUGACGGCGCGAGCAGGUGCGAAAGCAGGUCAUAGUGAUCCGGUGGUUCUGAAUGGAAGGGCCAUCGCUCAACGGAUAAAAGGUACUCCGGGGAUAACAGGCUGAUACCGCCCAAGAGUUCAUAUCGACGGCGGUGUUUGGCACCUCGAUGUCGGCUCAUCACAUCCUGGGGCUGAAGUAGGUCCCAAGGGUAUGGCUGUUCGCCAUUUAAAGUGGUACGCGAGCUGGGUUUAGAACGUCGUGAGACAGUUCGGUCCCUAUCUGCCGUGGGCGCUGGAGAACUGAGGGGGGCUGCUCCUAGUACGAGAGGACCGGAGUGGACGCAUCACUGGUGUUCGGGUUGUCAUGCCAAUGGCACUGCCCGGUAGCUAAAUGCGGAAGAGAUAAGUGCUGAAAGCAUCUAAGCACGAAACUUGCCCCGAGAUGAGUUCUCCCUGACCCUUUAAGGGUCCUGAAGGAACGUUGAAGACGACGACGUUGAUAGGCCGGGUGUGUAAGCGCAGCGAUGCGUUGAGCUAACCGGUACUAAUGAACCGUGAGGCUUAACCUU